rnacentral:rRNA from 1 species
AGAAUCAACGCUGGCGGCGUGCCUAACACAUGCAAGUCGAACGAGAAAGUGGAGCAAUCCAUGAGUAAAGUGGCGCACGGGUGAGUAACACGUGACUACCUACCCUCGAGUGGGGAAUAACCUCGGGAAACCGGGCUAACACCGCAUAAUAUCUACGGAUCAAAUGCGAAAGCAGCUUGAGGAGGGGUCGCGGCCGAUUAGCUAGUUGGUGAGGUAAUGGCUCACCAAGGCAAUGAUCGGUA